rnacentral:lncRNA from 1 species
GUAGCCAACGACUGGGAUACAUUUCUGAAGGAGUUAGCUGAAUGCCACCAGCGUGCUGAACAAGCUCUCUAUCAGAAGCAUUGGGAAGAAAUCAAGCAAUCAGGGCUCAGCCGGGAUCUAGUAACACCCAAAGACCACUUACAUUCUCUAGAUGAAAUUCUACAUCAUUUAUCACUGCUUGGUGCUGAUUUGCAAAUGACAGAUUCCCACAUCAGAUAUGAUGUCACUAAAAAACAAGAUGAAACACAGUCUUUGGAAGCAGAGCUAGCUCGAGACUCAGCAACUCAAAUAUUACAAGCUUCAGCAGUCAAAAUAGUCAAGUUAGAAGUUAUGAAACAAGUGUGUCUCUAUAGAAUAUUGGAUCUCUAUAAUGAACUCCAGAGGCAGACGUGUCCAGAACAUGUGUUAAGGAUUCUGAACACUUUACACUACAGAGCUACCGGAGAAACUGUGGCCCAAGAGGUGGCCCAGAUUACUGAGGAGCAGCAAGUGGAGAGAGCUGUGGCUUUUCUCCAGAAACACCACAAAGAAGGGGACUUACUUAUUGGUUUGAAGGAAGAGUCAGAGACUGAACUGAGGAGUAUGCAGACACAGUUCAGAAUGGAGCUUCAAACCCAAACAGAAGAAAAGGUGCAAGCCAAGGAAAUGCAAGUGAUUCAGGAGGCUGAAAGACAGGCGUUACCAAAUCACAUUGAGCAUGUGGCAUAUUUUAUCCUAUCUCAGAGACACUUGCGGCAAACAGUAAUAGUGCUGCAAGACAGCUACAGAUUCCAAAAGGCAGACUUGUGGACACAGACUGAAGAAAGAAACCUGUGCGAGCUUGUCAUAGAUGGGGAUGAUGGUAUGAUGGGCAUCUUACAUCUAUUGAAAGAUAACAUGGAGUACAGGCUUUCAGGGCUGGAGCUGAAACAAGCUGCCAGAUUAUUACAGCUCAGAGAGAAACAGUUUUUGGAAAUAACCAAAUGCCUGAAAGACUACUCUUUGGACAAGCCUGUGGAUGAAGCUGGCUUCACAGCCAACGAUCUACAGGAAUUCAGAAAGCAGAAAAUAAGGGGACUGAAAGAACAGCUCAAAAUCUUCAUAGGUGAUAAAAGAACUAAGGAGAAUAUUUCAAGCAAUCUUGAUCCACUACAGAAAAUGAUUAACCAACACAAUGAAACUGUGGCCUUCCUGCAAAAGGCUUUUCACCAAGACCUGGAGAAACUGAGAAGGAGGCUAGAGCCAGCAGAGAAGAAAAAAGAGAAACCACAAGAAAACAGUCGUGUGUCAUCUGCAGCUGCAUCCUCAUCAGCCAAAGAGAAACCCAGCCAGGCAGAAGACCCGGUUCUAUCUCUCUUGGCAGAGAGUAGGUCUGAUUUUUGCAAUAGGAAAUCCAUAACUCCUUGUUGCAAAUAAUAUGCAU